GGCUGCCUCAGUUGGUAGAGUAUGUGAUUCUUGAUCUCAGGUCAUGAGUUUGAGCCCCACGGUGGGC
rnacentral:tRNA from 1 species